GAUGAACGCUGGCGGCGUGCCUAAUACAUGCAAGUCGAGCGAACAGACGAGGAGCUUGCUCCUCUGACGUUAGCGGCGGACGGGUGAGUAACACGUGGAUAACCUACCUAUAAGACUGGGAUAACUUCGGGAAACCGGAGCUAAUACCGGAUAAUAUAUUGAACCGCAUGGUUCAAUAGUGAAAGACGGUUUUGCUGUCACUUAUAGAUGUAUCCGCGCCGCAUUAGCUAGUUGGUAAGGUAACGGCUUACCAAGGCGACGAUGCGUAGCCGACCUGAGAGGGUGAUCGGCCACACUGGAACUGAGACACGGUCCAGACUCCUACGGGAGGCAGCAGUAGGGAAUCUUGCGCAAUGGGCGAAAGCCUGACGGAGCAACGCCGCGUGAGUGAUGAAGGUCUUCGGAUCGUAAAACUCUGUUAUUAGGGAAGAACAAAUGUGUAAGUAACUAUGCACGUCUUGACGGUACCUAAUCAGAAAGCCACGGCUAACUACGUG
rnacentral:rRNA from 1 species